rnacentral:lncRNA from 1 species
UAAGGCUUUACUGGGGAUCAGGCUGGGCUGGGCAGGGACACCCUGGGGGAACCAGGAGUACACAUCAGGCCAUAUUGGGCUUCAGGGCAGUGCCGGGGAGCUCGGGGCUGAGCACUACAGACCAGGAGCCAGUCAGGCUCCUGAAAGUAGAGCAACCACCGAGGGAAGAACAGUCUGGCUGGCUCUAGCACAGGAGGGCUGACAUUGGUGGGGAAGGGAAUGUGCCAAAGUGGAGAGCCGGUGUCAAAGGGCCUGGAUGAAAACGGAACAGGGAGAGGGAAAAGGGGGGCGCCAAUAAGGUAUUUCAUGGGGACAGAGGAAUGUAACAAAGGACAAGGAAGCAAGCAAGCUGUUCGGGGAGACAGGGCAGCCACAGCUCUGGCUCUUCCCUCCCAUCACCUCCCGCGUAGGCCUACUUGUUGCCCCAAAAGGCGAUCUUUAGAAACAGAGGGCCUGGGAGGAAGCGGCUGGACUUCAUGUAGGCAGAGAUCUUCUUCAGGCCCUGUGGGUGGAAAAAGAAGGCCCACCAUCAGGAUCUGCUGCCCUGCCGGGGCUCAAGCAGUCCUACUGAGGCACAUCAAGUAUGGC